AACAUGUCUGUGUGAAUUAAUUANAAAGUCUAGCCUGCCCACUGAUUUAUUUAAAGGGCCGCGGUAAUUUGACCGUGCGAAGGUAGCAUAAUCAGUAGUCUUUUAAUUGGAGGCUUGAAUGAAUGGUUGGACGAGGGAUAAACUGUCUCUUUUACGGUGUUUGAAUUUAACUUUUGAGUGAAAAGGCUCAAAUUGUUUAAUGGGACGAUAAGACCCUAUAAAACUUAAUAUAAUCUAGUUAAUACUUGCGAUUUAGGUAAAAAGGAGUUUUGUUUAGAUUAUAUUUCGUUGGGGAGAUGAAGAUAUAAUGUAUAACUGUCUAUUGAAUAAUAUAAUGCUAAUUAGAGUUUGAUCCUUCUUUGAGGAUUAAAAGAAUAAGUUACUUUAGGGAUAACAGCGUAAUUUUCUUUGAGAGUUCUUAUCGACAAGAGUAGUUGCGACCUCGAUGUUGAAUUAAAAUUUCNGCUAAGUGUAGCCGUUUAGCUGGUAGGUCUGUUCGACCUUUAAAAUUUUACAU
rnacentral:rRNA from 1 species